GCUGGCGGCAGGCCUAACACAUGCAAGUCGAGCGCACUCUUCGGAGUGAGCGGCGGACGGGUUAGUAACGCGUGGGAACAUACCCUUUUCUACGGAAUAGCCUCGGGAAACUGAGAGUAAUACCGUAUACGCCCUUUGGGGGAAAGAUUUAUCGGUGAAGGAUUGGCCCGCGUUUGAUUAGAUAGUUGGUGGGGUAAUGGCCUACCAAGUCUACGAUCAAUAGCUGGUUUGAGAGGAUGAUCAGCAACACUGGGACUGAGACACGGCCCAGACUCCUACGGGAGGCAGCAGUGGGGAAUCUUAGACAAUGGGCGCAAGCCUGAUCUAGCCAUGCCGCGUGAGUGACGAAGGCCUUAGGGUCGUAAAGCUCUUUCGCCAGAGAUGAUAAUGACAGUAUCUGGUAAAGAAACCCCGGCUAACUCCGUGCCAGCAGCCGCGGUAAUACGGAGGGGGUUAGCGUUGUUCGGAAUUACUGGGCGUAAAGCGUACGUAGGCGGAUUAGAAAGUAGGGGGUGAAAUCCCAGGGCUCAACCCUGGAACUGCCUCCUAAACUACUAGUCUAGAGUUCGAGAGAGGUGAGUGGAAUUCCAAGUGUAGAGGUGAAAUUCGUAGAUAUUUGGAGGAACACCAGUGGCGAAGGCGGCUCACUGGCUCGAUACUGACGCUGAGGUACGAAAGUGUGGGGAGCAAACAGGAUUAGAUACCCUGGUAGUC
rnacentral:rRNA from 1 species